rnacentral:rRNA from 1 species
UACAGGGGGUGCGAGCGUUAUUCGGAAUUAUUGGGCGUAAAGCGUCCGCAGGUGGCUAUUCAAGUCUGCUGUCAAAGCUCGGAGCUUAACUCCGAAUCGGCGGUGGAAACUGAACAGCUAGAGUGCAGUAGGGGUAGAGGGAAUUCCCAGUGUAGCGGUGAAAUGCGUAGAGAUUGGGAAGAACACCGGUGGCGAAAGCGCUCUACUGGACUGCAACUGACACUCAGGGACGAAAGCUAGGGGAGCGAACAGG